UACAGGCAAUUAAAUUUUAUAUAAAACUUUAAACUGUAUAUCCUUGUUUUUUUUUUUGUUUUUUUUGUUUUUGAGAAGUCUCAUUCUUUUGCCCUGGCAAGAGUGCAGUGAUGCACUCUCAGCUUACUGCAACCUCCACCUCCUGGGUUCAAGCAAUUCUUGUGCCUCAGCCUCCUGGGUAGCUGGGAUUACAGGGGUCUGCCACCAUGCCCAGCUAAUUUUUGUACUUUUUUGUAGAGAUGGGGUUUUGCCGUUCAAGACCCAGGGUGGUCUUGAACUCCUGGACUCAAUUGAUCCGCCUGUCUCAACCUCCCAAUGCGUUGGGAUUACAGGUGUGAGCCACCAUGCCCGGCCUUGCAUAUCCUUUUUACUAAAGUGGUUAUUGUUUCUUUUGCCAUUUUAAUAAAUAAUUAUAAUUUUACAUGAAAAGCAAAGUUGCUUUUAUAAAAGCUUGAGGAUUUCUUAUAGAUUAACUGAUUUUUAUAGAUAAUAACAACCAAGUUUUCUUGAUGGCCUUGGCAUGUAACUUCCGUAUAAUAAGUGGAGAUCAAUAAGAAGUUUCCUCAAGUUGUAACUUGAAAGUGGUGUAACUUGGUAUAACUUGAAAGCUUUCAAAUGCCAAGCAAGUGGUAGGUAUUUAUAUGGAGAGAGACGAAAAUUCGUUAUGAGGAACAUUCUUGGGUACAAAUUCUUUUGAUCUAAGGAUUGUUGUUUUUCAGGGGGCUCCUCUGAAUGGGUUUGGGAGGAACAACUGAGCUUGGAUCACUAUGGAGAAGGGCAAGGCUUCUGAGAAUCAGAGCUUAGGAAACCUGGCUCUUGCCUCUCUUUCUCUUUCUUGCUCUGUGUGAAUAUUCAGUUCCACCAAUUCCAGCUGCUUCUUCCUGUCACUGAUUUUCAGAUGAAUUGGGCUCCUUUCCCAGGGACAGAGUCUGGAAGCUUUUUGGAGACAUCAGCUACUCCCUCCCUCAAGGGCAGCAAGCUUGGGAACUAGGGGUGAGGGCUGCACUGGAGGGAUUGCCAGGUGAGGCAGAUCUCACCCAGCCUUUUCGAUCAAGGUAUAGUCAGGAGGAACUGAGAGGAAACUUUCCAUAAACCUCAGGUUUGUGGCACUGGAACAAAUCUUGGGGGAAAAGGCAGGGGAGGGUAUAGAUUAGAGGAGGUAGAGGAAAAUGUGCUUCAGGCUUUCGUCCAGAGUCUGCCCACCUCUAUGAAAAUGUGUUCAUUAUGCCCUGAUAGCCUUCUCCACAGGCAGUUCUCCAAGCCCAUUUUUGAAUCCCUGAUUAAAAAACAACGACCUAACUCAUACCAAUCCACCGCUCUAGUUUCACCUUCUUUGAUUCUUGAGAGCUUUCUUCUUUAAAAUGCACAUAUUCCCUAGGAUGAGUUAUAGCUUAAUUUAGGAGUGACAGCUCAUAAGAUCACAUGUCUAAAACCAAAUUCCUGAUUUUCCAUCUCACUAAACAGGUACCACUGCCCACUCAGUUGCUCAAACUGAAACAUGCUCUUUCUCCUACAUGCCUUAUGCUGUCUAUCACCCCUUUUUGUUAGUUUUUCCUCUAACACACAUCUCUCUAUUUUUUUUUUUUUUUGAGACAAGGUCUUGCCCUGUUGCCCAAGCUGGCAUGAUAAUGGCUCACUGCAGCCUCAAGCGAUCCUCCCACCUCAAGCCUCCCACAGGUGCACACCACCACACCCAGCUAGUUUUUAAACAUUUUGUGGAGAUAGGGUCUCACUAUGUUGCCCAGGUUGGUCUCAGACUCCGGAGCUUAAGUGGUCCACCCACCUCAGCCUCCAGAAGUGCUGGGAUUACAGCCACUGCACCAGGCCUCUGUAAAUAUAUUUCUAAGAAUAAGUUGGCAGGGUGGGCACCGUGGCUUAUGCCUAUAAUCCCAUUACUUUGGGAGGCUGAUGUGGGUGGAUCACCUGAGGUCAGGAGUUCUAGACCAGCCUGGCCAACAUGGUGAAACCCCAUCUCUACUAAAAAUACGAAAAAUUAGCUGGGAUGUGGUGGCGGGUGCCUGUAAUUCCAGCUACUCAGGAGGCUGAGGCAGAGGUUGCAGUGAGCCGAGAUUGUGGCACUGCACUCCAGCCUAGGCAACAGGAAUGAAACUCCGUCUCAAAAUGAAAAAUAAGUAAAUAAGUUGGCCUGAAAUGAAUCCAAAUCAGUUUAGACAGCAAAAGAUAAGACUUCUUUUAGGACCAAGAAACUUUUCUAAACUUCACCUAUCUGUAGUUGAAAUCCCAGCUGAUGCAUCCUGCAAAAGGUUUAAGAAAAGAUUCUGGAUAAUUAAACAAUGGUGAUCCUUUUGAAUUAAGGUUAUUGGGAGCAGCCCAGGCAGACACGCACACACACAAAAUCCUUUUCAACCUUUUUGAACUUUAGGGCCAAAUUGUCACCUUCGCAUCCAGAUGACUUGGGGGCUGAUGUUGCAGUGUCUAAAUGAUUCAUCCUUCCAUUUCUCAUCCUUAUCCCUCCAGCUCCUUGCCUUUCUCCAAUUCAGUGCUCAUUUGCACUUUUACCAGCCAGGACACAGGAGAAAAGAUGAAAAGCUCAGAAAGUUUAUUCCACUUUUUCAAAGAAGUUAAUGGGGAGCAGGUUGAUUUUACAGCACAAUAGUGAGAUCGUUGCUCUUCAAAGCUUUCUUUUUCUUAGAUUCUGUCUCUUCUUGCCUCCCUCAUCUUUCAUUACGUUUCUUUUUUUUUUUUUUUAAUGUUAAAACAGCAAUGAAACGAGGUCUCACUAUGUUGUGCCGGCCGGUCUCUGACUUCUGAGCUCAAGUGAUCUGCCCAUCUCAGCCUCCCAAAGUGCUGGAAUUACAGGCAUGAUCCACUGUACCCAGCCUGUGCUUCCUUUAUCCUCGCUCAGAAACAGCUCCUUGCUUUCUAGAAUCGCAGACUCUUAAAGCUGGAAGGGACCCAAGGAACUCUUCUGUAUAUGGCUUAAUCACUCCUGGGGAAAACCAAACCUCAGAGAGAUGAAAUGAUUUCCCAGGACCACUGGAAACCAAAUCUUUCUACUAUGGCACCCUGCCUUGCUUCUCUGAAAUAACAGUAAAAUGAAAGAAAACUUCAGUCAUUGAAGAAAAAAAUUUUUUUUCUUUUUCUUUUUUCUUUUUUUUGAGACAGGGUCUCAUUAUGUUGUUGCCUAGGCUGAAAUGCAGUGGCAUGAUCUCAGCUUACUGCAACCUCCACUCCUAGGCUCAAGCCAUCCUUCCACCCCAGCCUCCUGAGUAGCUGGGGCCACAGGAGCAUGCCACCAUGCCUGGCUAAUUUUGUUUUGUAAUUUUUGUAGAGAUGGGGUUUUGCUGUGUUGCCUAGGCUGGUCUCGAACUCCUGAAUUCAAGCCAUCCAGCCCUGUUGGCCUCCCAAAGUGCUGGGAUUGCAGGCGUGAGCCACGGCAACUGGCUGAAUUUUGUUUUCUUUUGUUGGAAAAAAAUAAUAGCAAUAUCACCCAUGCAUUUUUGCUUUCAGAAUGUUUCCUGAAUUAAGGAGCAAAACUCAUGUAAGAUAGAAUAAAAAGAAAUCCCAAUUAAAGUAGGAAAUAAAAAUGCUUUUAAUGUCAGUUUAAUCAUUAGAAAUUAGAUUUCUAAUUUGUUCCUCCAGUUAGCUAGCCAGUGGCUCAGUAUUUCUUGGGUACAAAGGUCUAAUAACAUCCUCAAUAACUCCAUGGAGCAAUAGGGACCAUCAGCUCUGAAUGAAUUCAGGAGGCUUAGAACUUUCUCGCAUGCCUUGCUCAUUUCUUUAGUUUCUUUUCUUGGAUUUGGUUGACUACUUUCCUUCUGUAUUCUCAGGUAUUUGAAAGGUACCUAUCCAAGUGUCUCUUUACUCUGGUGCACCAUAAAAAAAUGGAAACAAAAAUAUUGAUAUGGUUUGGCUGUGUCCCCACCAAAUUUCAAAUUGCAUUUUCCAGAAUUCCCAUGUGUUGUGGGAGGGACCCAGGGAAGGUAACUGAAUCAUGGGGGCUGGUCUUUCCCGUGCUAUUCUUGUGGUAGUGAAUAAGUCUCAUGAGAUCUAAUGGGUUUAUCAGGGAUUUCUGCUUUUGCUUCUUCCUUUUUCUCUUGCCGCCACCAUCUAAGAAGUGCCUUUCUCCUCCUGCCAUGAUUCUGAGGCCUCCCCAGCCACUUAAACUGGUCCAGCAACUCCAAUGACAAGAAUGAUGCAUUUUCAUCACUUGUGACUUCCGGUGAUUCUCAGGUGCAGCAGAGAUAGAGAGAUCUGAAAAUGGGAAUUUCCAAACAACUCUGUUUUCUAAUUUCCAGGGUCUAACCUUGAGAUAAACCAGACAUGGAGACACAGCUGCAAAAUGCCAGAGGCUGCCUCAAGGCUGUUAGUCUACAACCCGGCCAUUGUUCAGAGGACACCAGCUCACGCUGACAGCCACCAGGGAAACAAGAGACACAGACCUUGAAUUCAGGCCUGCUCUUGCACACCUCCCAUUCCCAUUCUGCUUUUUAAGCCCACUCCCCAGCCUAAAGUUGGGAAUGGUCUUUUAAAGGCAUGAGCCUGGCUAUUUUCCAACUGCUAGCAUUUGAAUAAAGUUGGUUUCGUUUCACCACAUCUCACUUUCCUGCUUUCGACAUCUGAGUGGCCAGCAGUGGGACUUGAACCGGUUACACUGCAUCUGAAGCACCCUGGGCUGCCCUCAUCACUACUUUUGGAACUCAUGUUUUGCAGGCACUGACAGACAGCCCGAGUAAAUGAACCUGAAAUUACGUUUUUUUCUUCCGUUUUGUCCUCCAUUCCCCUCUCCAUUAUAUGAACGAUAUAGUCAUAGAAGUUGCCUCUAAAAUCCAGAAAACGUAGUUCCAGCCUAGCAAAGUCACCCAGUUAUAUGAUUAAGAUGAUAAUGAUGGAGGAAGUUUGUAAAGGGCUUUGAAGAUCAGACUGAGAUUCAGAUAUUCCUAGAGAGUGGAGGCUAGUAACCCCCUUUACCUUGUAGCUAUUCGCAUUCACUGAUUUGCAACAGAAUUAAGGAAACCUCUGGAUAAAACACUUGAACACUGUCCACGAUUAAGG